rnacentral:rRNA from 1 species
AUGGCGCCGACCCAGCAGCGGCUUCUCACUCGUCGCCGUCUCCUUCCUCCUCUGCUGCUGUUGCUCCUCCUCGCCGCACAUCUUCAGCCUGCUGCUGCUUCCUCUUCUGCUUCUGAUCCGCUGGUGACCACCACGACGGCCCACGGCAGCAUGAGGGCCAGCAGCAGGUCCCUGCUCCAGCAGCAGCCGCCUCCCAGACUAGACUGCCCCAAGGUGUGCUUGGGCCGCUGCGCCAACAACUGGAAGAACGAGAUGUGCAACGACAAGUGCAACGUCUGCUGCCAGCGCUGCAACUGCGUGCCCCCCGGCACCGGCCAGGACACCCGCCACAUCUGCCCCUGCUACGACCAAAUGACCAACCCGCACAACGGCAAGCUCAAGUGCCCUUGA